CUCAUUUCUCUGUGCUGAAAGGUGUCAUAUAAAUGCUAAAUAGAACAGAGAGAGAGAUGGGGCCUAGCUAUUUGCAUUUCGGCUAAUGUGAGCAGAUGUAGCUAGCACAGCCGCUUAGCCGAGGAUGCUCACCUGCCCUGCUGGGCCUAAUGUCCAUCUUCAGUUCAUUUCAACGAGGCCCUCAUCAGUUCUGCUCCAGCGCUGCAGCAGACAUGGUGCUUGGUACAAAAGGGGUACGUGCCUUCUGUCCUCAGUGGGUUGACAAAACUUGUUGACGAGACAAGUUUAACCACAGGAACCAUCUGAGAACAAUACAACCCAGCUUGUGAUUAAGUGGAAGAAAAUCUACAGAGUCCACAGUUCCGGCAUGGAGAUGAGUGUCUUUCAAUAUGAAGAGUUCGAAUUAAAACCAAACCACAACGAAGCAGGAGAAACUAGCAUCAAUGUGAGCAUGCCAGUCAAGGCUGCAACUUAAGAAAUAGGAAAAAGAAAAAAGAAACAAAAGUUGAUGAAUAAUUGAGCUGGGACUGUGCAUAAACUUAACCCAUUACUAUGCAGAAUAUAAUGCAGACAUUUUAGUCUUGGAUCUUGUCCAAGGUGAUUCAUUAUUGGACAAAGUGGGAGAACCUUGUUCAGACACAGCUUCACCUAAAAUGUGAUCUCUGGUCAUGGACACAGGAUUACAGGAAGGCUCCAAUGUUACUUGAAGUGAGAGGUGGGGGCUCUUGUUUCAUCCUCUGUUCAACUUCUUGCCUUGAAUGAAUGAGUAGUCUGAAUGGUUCUCUUUUUGAAAAAUAACUGUUUUGUUUGGCUGAGACCCACAGGGGCACUCACUCUUUCCUCUUACCACAGGAAAGAGACACAUUUGAAAAAGCAAGCAUCCUUGAGUAUGCAGUUGAUUUUCUUGUUAAUUGAAUUCAAUUGGAUCAAUAUCUAGUUUUAGUUGUGGGAAGUAAGGCUAGCAGUCAGAAAUAUUCUCAAAUUUCCUUGAAUAAUAAAAAGAUCUCUCUUAAUUCACUCACAGUUUAACUCAGGGAAAGCUAGGGGAAGAAGAGUACGGGCAGUGUUGGGGCAGGACAUUCUUCCUGUGGACUACUUGCAGUUAGUGGAUUGAUAAACUUAGGUUGUGAAUCUCCAUUGUGAGGACCAGAGUGUCAGCAUGUUUUAGAAAUUCCUUCCCCACCAAGGAAAGUCCCACUGUAGACAAAAAGAAAUCCAAUAUUGAAAGCAAUCUUUUGAUUGUACCGUGACAUAUUCUUGAAGCUGCCAUGCAGGAAUCUUCCAUAGAAGUUUUAAAAUUCUACAGAUAGGAAACGUACAAGAUUUACAGGAUAGGAAAAAUGAAAUUGGUUGUUUGAAUGGAGGAGCAUUAACUUGAGCUGGUCUAUGAGUUGCUUUGUAAAUUGCCUAAAAUUAUGCCUUUGCACAUUUGAUGGUUGCACUGAGUGGUGGUCAAAAGCUGGCUUCCCUGAGAUAACCAGGUCCUGGACCAUUCCCUUCCUCUUCACUCCCCUGUCUUCUGAGCUGAGACAGAGUCUCACAGACAGACAGACAGCGGAGAGAAAAACUGCUACAUCUAACAAAAGCUUGCUGAGAGUCAUUUGGUAUCUGUUCUUCUUUACUUCAAGGUGUUGUGUGCAAGACCUUGGACUAACUUUACGCUGCUUAUAUACAGAACGUGUCCUUAUGCUAAAGGUGACCUUUGCUGACGGUUAGACUCUAAACUGUAAACAAUGUGCAAACUGUGGGACCAUGUGGAAGGUUGGCUCUGGAUUGUCUCUCAAAGGCCUACGUGUUGAAGGUUUAGCCACCCGUCUGUGGAAAUACUGGUGGAGGGCCAACCUUAAGAGGUGGGUGGGCUCUUGGUAAAGGAACUGAGUUGUUGGGAAGCUGUUCUCGGCGGGGACAUGAAGGCCCUGGAUUCUUAACACUCUCUCGUUGCUUUCUGUCAGCAAAAGGGCAAACAGCUUUUGUUCCCUCAUGUGGUCCCACAUGAGCUUCUGCUUUGCCACAGGCCCUGAAACAGUGGAGUCAGGAGGUCAUGGAGUGAAAUCUCUGAAACCACUAAUUCUUUCUCCUAAGUUGCUUAUCUCAGAUGUCUCAGCUAAGCAGAGAAAGCCAGCCAACACGAACUCCGUGAAAGCACUCUACACACACUGGCUCAUUAAAUGUGACCAACAGGCGUUUACUGUGGUAUGACUUCAAACAUCGCUUCAUCUCCUCAGCUCUGCAUCUGACCUUCUCCCCCAACUCAUCUUCAUGUCCGUGUAUUAUCAAAACCUGGGGUGUUUGGUCAUCAAUCAUCUUAGGUGAUGAUUAUGAAUAAUGUAUAGUCAUUGAUGAUAUCAGAAAAUGGAUGCCAGUGGUGGGGGUGCCUGUGUAAAUGCACGGUUCAGUAUUUAUUCCAUCUUGCUCACUAGCUUUAGGCUCUUUUUUUUUUUUUUUUUUUUAAUUUCGAAAGAAUGCAUUAGAUCCAAACAGCUAGAUCCCUUAACAGUGUAACUAGAGUCUCCAGCUUGGAAGCCAAAGAGACCAUAUGCUUUUUAGCCCGCUUUCCUGAAGAACUGUCAGACACUUAUCAAGUUUUCGGCUCGUGUUUAGCACCAGGACAACAUAAAUGAUAAGAGCAGAUAGGAGGCGUCAGUCUCAGACAUGCAUUGUUCUCAGUGUGAAGAACUGAGCUGAAAGAAAAAACAUGAAGAGGGCUUGGAAGAUGGUUCAGUGAUUAAGAGUGUGCGCCGCUCUUGGAGAAGACCCGAGAUUGGUUCCCAUGGCUCACAACUGUCUGUAAUUCCAGUUCCAGGGGAUCUGACGGCCUCUGGGGACAUUUGCAUGCACAAGCACAUACCCACACAUAGACAUACAUGCACACACGUAAUUAAACAUAAAAAUAAGUCUUAAAAAAGAAAAAAAAUGAGAGUGGCAAAGUAAGUCCGUGAAAUAGCAUUGAAGACGGAGAAAUGUAUCAGUACACGUAUGACACUGGAUGUUACACAAAAGGUGCUAUUAAAAAGUCAGCGGCGAGUUGGUGACAUGGCUCAGUCAAUAGAGCGCUUGCCUUGUGCACAUAGGGACUGAACUCAAAUUCCAGAACCCAGGUAACAAAGGCUAGGCAUGGUAGUGUGCGUUUCUAAUCCCUGUGCUGGGGAGGCAGAGGUAAGCUGAUCCCUGAGCCUCGGUGGCCAGCCAGCCUAGCUUACUUGGAAAGUUCCAGGUCAGUGAGAGACCCUGUCUCAGAAACACAAGGUGCCUGAGAAACGACAUCCAAAGUUGUUCUUUGGUGUUCAAACACACAUGAACGCAUGUGUAUAUGCACUCCCCAAGUGUACACUUGCACACACACAUGCAUAUAUACACACAUACAUACAAGCACCAGAGUACAAAAGGCAAAUUAUUGAAUGUAUAGUGUUGGGACAAUUUUCAACUGGAAAACUUUUCCUUAUAUAAUACACAAAAAUAAACACAAGAAGCAGAAUUCAAAACAAUGAGAACAAAAGGGAGAUUUUUUUUUUCUUCAACACCAUUUAGAUUUUUCUUCUUCCUCAGGGAUGAGAAAGCUUUCUUUGAAGUAGCAAAAAGUAUAUGCUAUAGAAAAGACUUGGAUAUUUGAUUAUACUGAAUAAAUAGCCUCCCUAUAACUGCAUAAAGGAAAAGAAAAUGCAUAUUAGAAAAUAGAAGCUACUUAAAAAUGAGAAAAGAGCAGAAAAAGGCAAUUCAAACAAGAAAUUCUAAAUGGCAAAUGAAUGUAUUUUUUUGGUUUGUUUUUUGUUUUUCGAGACAGGGUUUCCCUGUGUAGCUUUGCGCCUUUCCUGGAUCUCGCUCUGUAGCCCAGGCUGGCCUCGAAUUCACAAAGAUCUGCCUGCCUCUGCCUCCCAAGUGCUGGGAUUAAAGGCGUGCACCACCACCGCCCGGCUAAUGUAUUUUUAAACCAUCUACUUGGAGUUUAACCAAUCAUCUUGGGCCACAGAGUGAACUUAAAGAUACAAGCCACGUGCUGAAUAUGGUCAAGAAGACAGACACAAUUUUUACGGCUUCUAGAUGACUGGAGUUGCCGUGGCAACCUUAAAACAUCUUUUGUAUAGGGGAAAACUAGUGAAGGUGAAGGAUGCUGAUGAUGCUGGUCCCUCUCCUCUCUUUCGCCUACCCACUUCCUGCUGUCUUGAUCAUGUGAAUUCCAGAGAAGAACCUCCAAGCUUUGCUGUAUACCAGCACAUGCACAGCUCUGGGCUGUCUCUAGGUCCCAUGGUGCUUCCCAUGUGCUGUUGGUGAGCAGCGGGAAGCCCUCUCCUAGAGUCCAAUAAGGCCAGCACUGUACUUUCUGCCAGACAGCAAGAAGAGACAACAUGGCUCUUGCUGUAACCGGAGAGAGAAGACAUUGAUGACAGAUCUGUUUUCUUUGCCAGAUCUUCCAAUUAUUAUACGACCCACAGCUUUCUGUGGUCUGACGCUGGAAAGUGUAAUGUGCACUCUAUAGGGAAAGCAUUAUACCAGUUAUAAAUGAGUCCUGAUCAAUACUAAGCGGUAAGCACAAGCUCCCUCAAACUCUGGCCAUAUGGAGAGGUAGAUUAUCAUUUUUUAAUGUAGCAAGGAGGAGAUUGAGAAACAUAAGAUGUUCCCCAGCUUGUAGUAAAGAGGAUAUAAAGGGACUCAUCAGCCCUUUAGAGAUGCAUGUUGUAUGUAAGGUCUCAAAUGAGAAGUUAUCUGGAACUUAAUGUGAUAUCUCCAGCAGUCUCACCGGAAGUACAGAUACGUUGUUAAAGAAGUAGGUUAAGAAGGAAGUAACAGGCCUGGAGAGAUGGCUCAGUGGUUAAGACCACUUGCUGCUCUUCCAGAGGAUCUAGUUCAGUUUCUAGCACCCACAUGGCAGCUCACAACCAUCCUUGAGUUCCAGGGAAACUGAUACCCUCUUCUGACCUUUUUGGAUACCGGGCAUGCUUGCAGAACACAUAUAUACAUGGAGGCAAAACACUCAUACACACAAAAGAAAAAUAAAUAAUCUUUUUUUUUUAAAAAAAAGGAUGAAAAUAUUAUUCCCUUGGAAAAAAUUUAGUGAUUUGAAUAUUAUACAAUAGCUGUAAUUACUGUUGUAUUUAAUGAUACACACACACACACACACACACACACACACACAUGCACACACAGAGAGCUAUGCAUAAAUGCACCAAAUCAACACUUUUUAUUGUAAAUCCUUUGAUAAAUAUUAUAUUUUAAUGGAUGUCAAUCCAGAGGCUGCCUGCUUAUGUAGGAAUAAGCUUUCAUUUGAAAAUUCUCUUCAUGAUGGUUUAGAACCCUUUGAUCUCACAUUGCUCACUGUCCUUUGUACUCUGGCAUUUUAGCAGUAGAUUUGAAACAAACAAUUCCAAAGGACAAAACAGAAAGAGUUGGAACUGCCUCAUUUUUUAUUGCCCUAUAUGAACAGUUCAUUUGAGUUUAAAAACUGAAAACAACUUUCAAAUUGUUAAUAACAUUCUUGCUGAGUACAUGCUGUUUCUGUUAAGUGUGGUGCAGAGUAUGGGUUAAUUAUGUGGUAUAUUUAUGGGGCAUGACGUGUUUGUUAAGUGCAAGUUAAUCCACACAGGAAGUAUUUUACUGAAUUUGAAUAGUAUCUUUAAAACUGAAUAUGCUCUUGCAUUUCAAUUAUAGUUGUUUAAAAACUAAAGAGUAAAUCUAGUAAAUAUAAUAUUACCAUGGUUGCAUAAAUUAAUAGUAGUCUGAUUUAGAAUUUUAUAGGCAUUUUGGGUUUUAUUAGAAAUUGCUAGGAGUUUAUGGACAAUUCUUUGCAUGAAAGAUUACAUCGCAAUGAAGAAGAUCAAAACUCAAACUAAGGUGGUUAUGACAAUCUAGAAGAAACAGUUGUCCACUUUUACAUUAAACUUCGUUAAGUCACAAAUGUCUUCUUUUUCCCUUUGGCAAGAUUA